rnacentral:misc_RNA from 1 species
GAAACAACAAUAUUUACAGAUGCUACAGUAAUUUAUGGGAAUGAAGGUGAGAUAAGAAGUGUAUAUAAAGAAAAGAAUUGUAAUCAGAGGAGGCAGAGGAGGGGAAAGCUUGUUGAUACCUCAAGUUCUACACUGGAAACAGCGUUCAUCGUAAAUGACGAUGUUGCCAAUAAAGAUUGUACUGUGGUAAGUGAUGGGAAGCAAGGUGAUAUGGGGAGUGCAUAUAAAGAAGUGACUGGUAGUUGUAGAAAGAGAAUAAAGUUUUCAGAUCAUGUGAAUGCCAC